UGGAAGUGACGCGACGAGGGCGGGGCCGCGGGCCUGGGGAGCCGCCGCUGCCGCCGCCGCCUCCGCCUCGGCCGCGAAGCGAUGUAGGAGCCGCCAGGCCGUACCCCGUCCCGCCCGGCCUGAGCCCCGCGGGCCGCCGCCGCCGUCGCCAUGAAGAAGCAGUUCAACCGCAUGAAGCAGCUGGCCAACCAGACCGUGGGCAGAGCCGAGAAAACAGAAGUCCUCAGUGAUGAUCUGUUACAGAUCGAGCGGCGCUUGGACACAGUGCGCUCCAUGUGUCACCAUUCCCACAAGCGCCUGGUGGCCUGCUUCCAGGGGCAGCACGGCACCGAUGCCGAGAGGAGACACAAAAAACUCCCUGUGACAGCCCUCGCUCAGAAUAUGCAAGAAGCAUCAACUCAGCUAGAAGACUCUCUCCUGGGGAAGAUGCUGGAGACGUGUGGAGAUGCUGAGAAUCAGCUGGCUCUGGAACUCUCUCAGCAUGAAGUCUUUGUCGAGAAGGAGAUCGUGGACCCUCUGUACGGCAUAGCAGAGGUAGAGAUUCCUAACAUCCAGAAACAGAGGAAGCAGCUCGCCAGAUUGGUUUUAGACUGGGACUCGGUCAGAGCCAGAUGGAACCAGGCUCACAAAUCUUCAGCAACCAACUUUCAGGGGCUUCCAUCAAAAAUAGAUACCCUAAAGGAAGAGAUGGAUGAAGCUGGAAAUAAAGUAGAACAGUGCAAGGAUCAACUUGCAGCGGAUAUGUACAAUUUUAUGGCCAAAGAAGGGGAGUAUGGCAAAUUUUUUGUUACGUUAUUAGAAGCUCAAGCAGAUUACCAUAGAAAAGCAUUAGCAGUCUUAGAAAAGGCCCUUCCCGAAUUGCGAGCCCAUCAAGAUAAGUGGGCAGAGAAGCCCGCCUUCGGGACGCCUUUGGAAGAACACCUGAAGCGGAGCGGGCGUGAGAUCGCGCUGCCCCUCGAGGCCUGCGUCAUGCUGCUCCUGGAGACGGGCAUGAAGGAGGAGGGCCUUUUCCGAAUUGGGGCUGGGGCCUCCAAGUUAAAGAAACUGAAAGCUGCUUUAGACUGUUCUACUUCUCACCUGGAUGAGUUCUACUCAGACCCCCAUGCUGUAGCAGGUGCUUUAAAGUCCUAUUUACGGGAACUGCCUGAACCUUUGAUGACUUUUAAUUUGUAUGAAGAAUGGACACAAGUUGCAAGUGUACAAGAUCAAGACAAAAAACUUCAGGAUUUGUGGAGAACAUGUCAGAAGUUGCCACCACAAAAUUUUGUUAACUUUAGGUAUUUAAUCAAGUUCCUUGCAAAGCUUGCUCAGACCAGUGACAUUAAUAAAAUGACUCCCAGCAACAUUGCAAUCGUGUUAGGCCCUAACUUGUUAUGGGCCAAAAAUGAAGGAACGCUAGCCGAAAUGGCAGCGGCCACAUCCGUCCACGUGGUUGCUGUCAUUGAACCCAUCAUUCAGCAUGCCAACUGGUUCUUCCCCGAAGAGGUGGAAUUUAAUGUAUCAGAAGCAUUCGUACCUCUCACCACCCCAAAUUCCAAUCACUCAUCCCACACUGGAAAUGACCCUGUCGACUCGGGGACCCUGGAGAGGAAGCGGCCUGCCAGCAUGGCGGUGAUGGAGGGGGACCUGGUGAAGAAGGAGAGCUUUGGUGUGAAGCUUAUGGACUUCCAGGCUCACCGGCGGGGUGGCACCCUAAAUAGAAAGCACAUAUCCCCUGCUUUCCAGCCGCCACUCCCGCCCACAGAUGGCAGCACCUUGGCUCCAGCGGGCCCAGAGCCCCCUCCCCAGAGCUCUAGGGCCGAAAGCAGCACAGGGGGUGGGACUGUCCCCUCCUCUGCGGGCAUGCUGGAGCAGGGGCCCAGCCCGGGCGACAGCAGUCCUCCAAAGCCCAAGGACCCUGCGGCUGCACCUGCACCCGGGAGAAACAGCAGUCAGGCGGCCCCCGGCCAAAGCCAGGCCCAGGCCACUGCCGGCUCCCAUCAGCUCUCUGUGGGCCCUACGCACAAUUCCGCCGGCCCGAGCCCUCACACGGUGCGCCGAGCUGUUAAAAAACCUGCUCCAGCACCCCCGAAACCUGGAAACCCGCCUCCUGGCCAUCCCGGGGGCCAGAGUUCUCCAGGAGCAUCUCAGCAUCCACCCAGCCUGUCACCAAAGCCGUCCACCCGAAGCCCUUCUCCCCCAACUCAGCCGCCUGGCCAGGCCCCAGGCCAGCCCUGCGCCACCUCGCAGCUCUCCGCACCCCGGAGAUACUCCAGCAGCCUGCCUCCGAUCCAAGCCCCCAACCACCCGCCGCCGCAGCCCCCCACGCAGGCCACACCGCCGCCAGCGCUCACCAAGCCAGGCAGCCAGGGCCCGCCGGCCCCUGGGGCCCUGCCCGGUGAGCCCGGACUCGAGCAGUCCUCCCACACCCCUCCCCAGACGCCGACGCCCCCCAGCACUCCGCCCCUAGGAAAACAGAACCCCGGCCAGGUGGUGAGUAACCCCGAGACCGCACAGCCACACGCUGGAACCUUGCCGAGACCGAGACCAGUACCAAAGCCGAGGAACCGGCCCAGCGUGCCCCCACCCCCUCAUCCUCCUGGCGCCCACCCCGCCGGGGAUGGCAGCCUCAGCAUCGCAGCUCCCACCUCCUCCAAAAUAGUCACAGAUGCCCUUCCUAGCGCCCUCACAGGUGGGGAAGGUUUCCAGGACUAAGGUCUGUAACCCCCCCAAGCAGCUUCCUGCAGCUCCAAAUGCUCCUGCUUAGCGGUGUUUUGCAUACAUGCUUUUGACUUUGUGCUCAGGAGCAGCCAUCUGACCCCCUGCCAUCCAUUCUCUAGACAUCACUUUUGUUUUUAUCAGAAGCACUUUGAGCUGCAAAUGCUUCGAAUUCAAGAGGUAGAUGUCAGUAGAUUGCAAGCCCGAUUUCAAGCCGCUCAGAUAAGAUACUAAGAAAUGUCUCCUUUCUUUUUGGUAAGCCUUUCACAAGCAUUCUGCUCUUUUCAGCGUGAUUUCCCUCUCAUUGAUUGGCUCAUCAGCAUCACCCAAGGAGGUCUCUGGUGCAGUUAGCACGGAAAAUUGCGUCCCUUGUGUCUUGAGCUUUAAGUUUUAAUUUUACCUCUUAAGUGCAAGUUAACUGCAUGGAGCUUCUUAAUUUGGUGUUUGAAUUUCUCAGGACCCUCCCCCCAAAAAAAAAUUCUUCCUCCAAAGAUCCCACACUAAAUUUCUUUGCAUUCUGGCAUGCUUACAUUUUUGCUUUCUUAAACCAUAUGAGCUUUUUGAAAGGUACUGUGAGGCUCAUCUGAAUCUUGCCUUUAGGUCCACACUUAGACGGAAUAAGGCUCUCGUUACUGCUCUAAUCAGCUGAUCUGAGCCUUAAGCCUUCAGUGGACUACUUAGCCGGCGUUUCCACAUCUUUGGUCUAGGAAGACUUUCUAUAGAUACCAGAAGGGGAAAACAAGAAUGCGAUCUUUACAACACAGAGGAGGACACAGAGGCGUGAUUCCGCCUUCCUGACUCCUAGGUGAUGAACCCAAAAGUCUGUGGUUGCCCAGUUGGGUAUGAAAAUCACAGAGUGAAGUAACUAAACCCUAAUUAAGGCUGAGCCUUUUAACACUUCAAUACUUGUGACACAUCAGAAUUUUAUUCCCAGAUCUUCCCUUUUAUUUAGAUGAAAGACUACAGACCAGAAUUAUGUCUACUCUUUAAUACCAUGUUUACCUGGGGUGUAUUUAUUUCAGAAGCUUAUUUUAUUGAUCUGCUAUAACACUGCAGUGCUCUGUACUUUGACAGUUGUCAGAUAAGUGAAAUUUGAUAUUAUAAAUACUUUUCCUUAGGAUAUUAGCUAAAUAUUUUAAAACCAAUCUGCACUUCGAAUUCUCCUAACUCAAGAAAUUACAGGUCACCACCAUUAUCUUUGUAUUACAGAAUUAAUUUUUAAUUUCUUAAAAUCCCCCGGAUUGCCAUUAGGAGUACACAAAAGGCCAGCGUUUAGAAUUUAUGAAUAUGCUCGUGUUGUUCAUGCUGCUCUUAGGCAAUCUUGGAUAUAGCCAUUGGGUAUUUCAAGAAGAAAAAAAUGUAACUUCCCUAGACAGGUAGUCCUUUAUUGUGACAUCAUGUUUUCACUUGGAAAGCUCUAGACAGACAAAUUCCUGAGAACAGGUUAUUCAUUCAGAGCAUUUAAUCUUAAAAAUUGAAUUAAGGCCUGGGGAUUAAGAGAGACUCUUGGGGGCGGUUACUGCUGCUAAACAGGUCGGACAGCCAGUAUGUGGCAGCUCUGCACCAGCACCAGAGAAAGGAGGAAUUCUGCUGUCAUUCUGAAUCUCUUCCUAAUUUGUUACUCUAGAAAGCAGUAGGAAAAAGAAAGGAAGAAAGAAAGAAAAAGAAAGCAGUAGGAGUUUAGCUUUGCAAGGAAAAGAGUUUGCAUUUUGCUGUUUUUAAAGUAAUAGAUUUUAGCCAAGAGUGUUCUAAUGUAACAUUUUAUUAAAUAAUUUAGAUGUAUGACCUGCCAUAUUCAGUAGGAACUGAAAUUGGAAUAUUUAAUGCCCUAAAAUCCCUAACAAGGCUCAUCAUUUGCUAGAACUCACAUCUACCAGAGAAACAAAUUCUUCAAGACAGAAGGGCCUGUCUCCCCCACUUGGCUGUAGGCUUCAUUAAAUCUGUGUCUGGCUUGUUCACUGUUGUGUCCUCACCGGUAGAAUGUGGGAGGUGCUCAGUAAGUAUUUGUUUAUCAGUGAGGGAAUCUGAGGCUCACCGUCUCACUAGGAAGAGGGCUGUGAUUGGUUAAGGUGUCUUGUGAGCAUGGGAGCGAGGGAUGAUGGCUUGAGGACCGUGUAUUUACUGUCUUGCCGAAGGAGUUCCAGCCAACAUAAUAAGACGUGAAAAAGGAAUUGGAGUUAUAUAAGUAUUGGGUUGACCAAAAAGUUCGUUUGGGUUUUUCCAUGUUACAGAACCGGAACGAACUUUUUGGCCAGCCCGAUAUUAGAAAUAGAUGAGAAAACUAAUAUUUGUAGGAGAUUUGGUGCUACACUCCAGUGCUUGUUCCCCCCUCCCACCCCAGGGACAUUUGGCAGUGUCUGGAGACACCUUUUGUCGUCACACUGUGGGAAAGAGAGCUUGUGCCAUCGGCAUCUAGUGGGUUGAGGGCAGGGAUGCUGCCAAACAUCCUACAGUGCACAAGACAGCCCCACAGCCCAGAGGGAUCUGGCCCCAAGUGUCACUAGUGCCGAGGUUGAGGGCAUAGCAUUAGUAACAGGAGGACACGCACCAACCUCGGAGGAGGGAACUUUUCCCAGUGACGCUCAGCUAUUCCUGCAGCCCAGAUGCUGUCAGGAGGUUUCAGUUAAUGUGUUAGAGACAUUGGUAGGAAUAAGGUUUCCUCUCCUCAGUCAGCAAGCAAACCCUUCCAGGGUUGCAUCUCUGAGGACUGCCGUGCGCUCACAGAAAGGACCACCAGAGCCAGGAGGUGGGGCUGUGCCACGUGGCUGGCUGCCCCUGGGGUAUCAAAGGCUUGACUCAACUUCUCAGGGCUGAUGGUGCCUCUAGUAAGGGAGUGUGCGUGCAUGGGCUGACUCUCAAACUUUCCAGCUUCUCCUCUCCUCGGGUGGCCUCUGGGGUGUUACCACGCAUUGAUACCAUGUCUCCUCGUGUUUUUGUCCAGACGCCAAUUCUAGGGUUUCAGAACCGCUUCGCAGCAUCUUUCCUGAAACGCAUUCAGACUCAGCCAGCAAAGAUCUGCCCGGCCGCAUUCUGUUGGAUAUGGACAAUGAUACAGAAAGUACCGCCCUGUGAAGAAAGCCACCCC